CAGGGGCAAAAUGAUAAUUUUAAAACUUUUUCAAAAUUACUAUUUUACAGUAGAAUUAUUAAUUAAUCUCAUUAAUUAAUACUAAUUAACCCUACACUAGGAUCUAAAUAUGAUACAACAGCAUGCAUUUAAAUUUGAAAUUCAAAUUUGAAUCAGUAAACCUUUUACAGUACUGUGUUCAGAACACAUCACCUUUUGCGGGUAGUCGAUCACCGCAAUCUGAUCACCGUCGGAGGGCUCUGAUCAUCACGUCGUAGCCACACAAAUGU
rnacentral:lncRNA from 1 species